rnacentral:rRNA from 1 species
GAUGAACGCUGGCGGCGCGCCUAACACAUGCAAGUCGAACGAUUAAAGCACCUUCGGGUGUGUAUAAAGUGGCGAACGGCUGAGUAACACGUGGGCAACCUGCCUUUUACUUUGGGAUAGCCUCGGGAAACCGAGGAUAAUACCGAAUACUUUGUAUGUAUCGCAUGGUAUAUACAAGAAAGCUUUUGCGGUAAAAGAUGGGCCCGCGGCCUGUUAGCUUGUUGGUGAGGUAACGGCUCACCAAGGCAAUGAUGGGUAGCCGGGUUGAGAGACCGACCGGCCAGAUUGGGACUGAGACACGGCCCAGACUCCUACGGGAGGCAGCAGUGGGGAAUCUUGCGCAAUGGGGGAAACCCUGACGCAGCGACGCCGCGUGCGGGAUGAAGGCCUUCGGGUUGUAAACCGCUUUCAGCAGGGACGAGGCCUUAUGGUGACGGUACCUGCAGAAGAAGCUCCGGCUAAAUACGUGCCAGCAGCCGCGGUAAUACGUAUGGAGCAAGCGUUAUCCGGAUUCAUUGGGCGUAAAGCGCUCGUAGGCGGUCUGUUAGGUCGGCAAGUUAAAUCCGGGGGCUCAACCCCCGUCCGCUUCCGAUACCGGCAGACUUGAGUUUGGUAGGGGAAGGUGGAAUUCCUAGUGUAGCGGUGGAAUGCGCAGAUAUUAGGAAGAACACCGGUGGCGAAGGCGGCCUUCUGGGCCAUAACUGACGCUGAGGAGCGAAAGCUAGGGGAGCGAACAGG